CCUACGGGUGGCAGCAGUGGGGAAUAUUGGGCAAUGGGCGCAAGCCUGACCCAGCAACGCCGCGUGAAGGAAGAAGGCUUUCGGGUUGUAAACUUCUUUUCUCAGGGACGAAGAAAGUGACGGUACCUGAGGAAUAAGCCACGACUAACUACGUGCCAGCAGCCGCGGUAAUACGUAGGUGGCAAGCGUUAUCCGGAUUUACUGGGUGUAAAGGGCGUGUAGGCGGGGAAGCAAGUCAGAUGUGAAAACCACGGGCUCAACCUGUGGCCUGCAUUUGAAACUGUUUUUCUUGAGUACUGGAGAGGCAGACGGAAUGCCUAGUGUAGCGGUGAAAUGCGUAGAGAUUAGGAGGAACACCAGUGGCGAAGGCGGUCUGCUGGACAGCAACUGACGCUGAGGCGCGAAAGCGUGGGGAGCAAACAGGAUUAGAUACCCCUGUAGUC
rnacentral:rRNA from 1 species